AAGAGAAUAAAUCUGAUACUCGUGGAGAUGAUGGUAGUCAUGAUAAUCCAACAACUGAGAAAUCAGAUCACCAGAAGAAAGAUGAUGCUAGUCAAGAUAAUGCAACAACUGAAAAAUCAGAUCACCAGAAGAAAGAUGAUGGUAGUCAUGAUAAUGCGAUAACUGAGAAAUCAGAUCACCAGAAGAAAGAUGAUGCUAGUCAAGAUAAUGCAACAACUGAAAAAUCAGAUCACCAGAAGAAAGAUGAUGGUAGUCAAGAUAAUGCAGCAACUGAGAAAUCAGAUCAC
rnacentral:lncRNA from 1 species